rnacentral:tRNA from 1 species
UAGAUUGUAGUGUAGAAGGAAGCACAAAGAGUUUUGAUCUCUUCAGGUCGGGUUCAAGCCCCCACUUUCUAA